rnacentral:rRNA from 1 species
AGCGAACGCUGGCGGCGUGCCUAACACAUGCAAGUCGAACGUGAAAGGGAGCAAUCCCAAGUAAAGUGGCGUACGGGUGAGUAACACGUAGGUAAUCUACCCCAGAAUCUGGAAUAACCGGCCGAAAGGCUGGCUAAUACUGGAUAGAGCGACGGAAUCCGUAAUUGGGUUUUUCGGGAAAGGGAGCCUGUAAAAAGGCCUUCGUUCUGGGAUGAGCCUGCGUCCCAUCAGCUAGUUGGUGAGGUAAAAGCUUACCAAGGCAAUGACGGGUAGCUGGUCUGAGAGGACGAUCAGCCACACUGGAACUGAAACACGGUCCAGACUGCUACGGGAGGCAGCAGUGGGGAAUCUUGCGCAAUGGACGAAAGUCUGACGCAGCAACGCCGCGUGAGUGAAGAAGGCCUUCGGGUUGUAAAGCUCUGUCGAGUGGGACGAAAAUGCUUGGAGUUCACAGCUCCAGGAACUGACGGUACCACUAAAGGAAGCACCGGCUAACUCCGUG